AUGGAUGAAUUAAUCAGCAAUUGCAUAUCAGAGCUCAGAGCGUACAGGGAUAAAAUCAGUAUUUUGGAGGAAAUUCAACACAAGCAAAAUCAUAUCAGCUCAUCGCUAGCACACGAGCUGGCUCUGCUGGCCGCAGGGACCCUCUGCCCCAGCACCUGCGGCUGCUGCUCCUCCUCAGCUGCCGUUCCCGGCCGCUCCCUCAGCCCUCACCGCGCGCGGCGCUCUGCCCUUCCUCGCGCACUCUGCCAUUCCUCGCGCACUCGCCGGAGCCCCGCUGCGGAGAUGAUCGCAGUGCCCUGCGGAGCUCUCUGGGGUGCAUGGAACUGGCUGUGUCCGGCACGGGGCAGCCCCCGCCUCUCCUCACAGAACCCCGUGCACCCUAAAGGGAGCCUUGGAAGAGAGGUCUUUAAAUACUCUGCACCAGUUUUGCUGUCCAGCUCCAUUGUACCAUACCCAGCUAGCAGUCCCUGCCACACACUCAGAGUACAGGACCUCACUGGAAACAGGAAGCAGCAUCUCCACCGAUCCGCUCAGUUGUGCAUAGAUAGACCCAACAGAUCAUUUAUUUCCCCUGGAUCUGUGUGGACUGCACUUGUGUUCUGCCUGUCAGUUGGGAAGUUACACAGCUGGGAGAUGAGAAAGGAGUCCAGUGUUGUAAAGAAUAAAGGCGAAUGUGGAAGAGGGCUUAUGUCCACUAAGAAGAGAAAAGCCUGUGCACACCGGCAUGCUAUACAUGCGUACAAUGUUUUGCACAAGCAUUUCCGUACUGCACGGUGUACUUUCAGGAUGUUUUGAGUGGUCCUCUCUCAGUUUUCAGCUGGCGUCCGAAAACAUUUCGAUUCCUGAACCAAUGAGAGUCCUCUGUAGUAUUAUCACACCUACUUUAGAUGCUCACAUCUUUGUGGCCUGUUCAUCAUCUUCUGUAACGGAGUGAUCGACUAGCAUUGAUCUGUUUGGAGAGCAGACAGAAACAGAACAGUAAAUUUCUUACUGUUCUUGUGAAACUUUGCCAAUUUCAAAAGGUUUAGUAACCAAGAAUGAAGAAUAAUGUCAAGUGGCAAUUAAUAAUAAUUUGUGGGGAAGUUUGAAUUUGAAUAAAUUGAAGAUCUCUUUGAAGCAAAAUAACUUAUCAGAGCACGUGUAGGCAGCCGAGCUUCCUCUUGAGUAGAGAGAAAGCAGGGAGAACCCUUGUUUCUUCCCUGAUUCUUUACACAUCUCGAUGAAUCACAUCCCCGUCACAUCUGGGUGUUACAGCGGUGCAGCAGAGCCCAAGAGCUCUGUUCGUGUUUCUCUUUCCAUUUUCCCCAGUCAGGAAGGGAUCCUGCUGAUGUGGCACCCAGAUAUGCACCAAAGGUCGUGAAAGAGAGGUCUGGUUUUGCAGAGCCUUUAACAUGAAAACACCCCUUAUUUAUUUUUUUUAGGAGCAACCUAGGAAACCUUCCCAUUCACUUGCACAUGGGCAGUAUUUGUUUUCCACUAAGGGCUGCAGAAUACAUGGGCUGUACUGUAUUCUAUGAACUGAGGCCUUCAAGUAUACCAGAAGCUACUUCAGGGCCUAUUCAUUUGCACAAAAUCUGAUGUUAUCUAUACUUUGUACAGUCCUUGCUCCUUAAUGUGGUGCGCACAAUGAGUGUCAUGGAAUUAGUAUGGGAACUGCAUGAUUUUAUUCUCAUUGCAUGCUUGAGCUCCGCAAUCUGUGAAUCAUUAGCUUGAAGUUCUUGUCCGUGGCUACAGAAGUACCCCAUCCUGGAGUCAGGAAGGACUUGUGGAAAACAGCUCUCUUGCUGCAGGCUUCCUUUUUCUCUACUCUGUAAGUAGACAGAAACAAUAUUUUUCNAUUAAAAAAAAAAAGUCAUUUUUUAAAAUGACCUCUCCAUUUCCAUUCUUCUUUUCUACAAUUUGCUCACUCCGAAGGAGGCAGGAGUCCCUUAUAGAGGAGUCAGGUGUUUCCAGCAAGCCUCUGAUUGCAGCCACCCCAAUGGACGCAGAUGAGGAGGGAUGGCAGGCUGUUUGAAGCAGGGGUCCGCUGGAAUUGUUUCUGCUUGUCUCCAGUUGGGGCUGGCAAUUCCAGCAUUGUGAUUCAGGAUAGACUGAAUCAUGUGCUUAAGCCCAUCUCCAGGCAAGAGCAGGUCUAUAUUUUGGUGUAUGAUUCAGUCCCACUAGGAUGUUUCAGUGAUGAUUAUAAGUGAAAACACUUUCAUAAAUUUCCGUGGCAGGAGCAGCUUAUUGCUGCUAUACCAGAAUGUCACAAAGUGACUGAGUCUCAGAAGCUGCUUAAGCCCCUUUAAUAUCAAGCUCUGUGGGGCACCUGCAGCUCUCAGCUCAUCCUCUUUGCUGCUCUGGUGUGCAAGACAACUUUGUAGCGUUUGAAGCCAUUAAAUGAACUGCCAGCCCUGAUUUAGAUGCAGUUUCAACGAUGGCAUAUGUGCUUUAAGUGAUCUAUGUAAGGAUUGUCUUCUAGGCUCUUUGUCAGAAAGAAUUCUUUAAAAAAAAGGUACUUUGGUAGUCUUUGUUCCUCGCCUCUGGUGUUGACAGCACGGACCCUGCCUGUAGAUGACGUGGGAUGGCUUCAAACGUGUCAGACAACACGGCUGCUGGCUGGCAAGGAGCAAGGCUGCUUCCUUUAAGUAAAGCGCAGCAUAAACGACAGACACAGGUCUCAGCUGUCAUGUGCUACUACUUAGGUAAAGGGAACACUAUUUUUAAAUCCAUUAUUUGAAAUAAGAUUUGAUAAAGGCUGAUGAUACGUUAUUUACCUAUUGUGAUCUUACAUCCCCAGAAACAAUAGCUGUACAGUGGUGACAGAUCUCACCAACAGCGAACAAGAAAUAAAUCUUUGGGUUCUUGUUCAUGAGAGCAAGGAUUUCUUUUCCUCACGCUGACAGCGAUGUCAGCUGGUUUGCUUUACUUCUGGCUCUCAUUUGAACUAUGAGCUCCUUUGCAAUCUGUCUUGAACAAAAUAUUAGCAGAGUGUGUGGGAUAAGUAACUGAAGUUGUCUUGAACUUGCAUUUGGAGUUCACCAUAUAUGUUGUUAGAAACAAAUAGUUCGCUUCCACUUGACAGUGACUUCAUCCAGAGCAGGGCUGAGUCAUAAUGCCUAUAGCACAGCUCUCCCAGGAGGCUGAUGCUGGCAGUGUUUAUGCAGUCGCAGAGCAGCUGAGAGCACACAAUUCUCUCCUCCUCCUUAUCCCCCAAAUCCAACAUCCUCCUGAUGCACAGCCAGCAAAAAGUGCAGAUUGCAGCAUUCCCAUAUUCAGCAUAAAAAUGAUGAAAAGGAAGCCAUUGAGUAAAUAAAUAGAAUAUGAAAAUGCUUUGUCUACACUCAGGAAAGUAGUGAUUUCAAGCCGAUAAACUACAACACCUCAAAUACUUUUUAGUCUGGUUAUAGCCUUCAUUUUAGUGUAAUUAAUGCUACCAUGUAUCUGAGAGAGUUCAUGAAAGUGUUCAGACUGCUUUGUCCAUAUGCCUUCUAUUCACAGUCCUAGUUUUUCUUAGCUCUCUGUGAUGCUCUUCUUUCCUAUGCAGUGGACAGCCAUCUUUUGGGAUCCCUUACCUUUCCAUGCCCUGACUUCACUGAAGUCUGCUGUGGGACUUUGGUACUGCUGACUGCCAAAAAUCCUGUGCAAAUACAAAGGGCUGUGUGGUGUCUCCUGUCACCACUGCUGUAACUGAUAAUCUGCAUUUCGGAAUGGAGAUGGUUCCUUGCACACGUGCCUUUUCUCUGCCUCUGUGGUAAGUGGAGUGUCAGUCCUUUCCAAAGCGUUUCUCACCCAGGAACCAACUUGGAGUGAUCACGUUCUGCAUUCUUCACAUUUGUGCAGAUUUCUACCUUCCACAAUCUGAGAUUUGUGUUAGGACUUUGAAGAAGCUCGGUGUGUGUGCUGGGACUCCCGCAGCUGUGUAGUUGGCGAUGCCUGCCAUUUAGCUGUGCCCCGUGAGAGCCCGCUGUGUGCCAGGCUUUUCUCUUUCAGUGUCUGGUCUCUACCGUGUUCAGAUGCAUCUGAUGGAUGGGCAGACCCUG
rnacentral:lncRNA from 1 species